UAUGUGCUUUUAAACAAUUUUAUCCCAGAAAUUUUCGCCAAGACUACAUUGUCCCACUUUUUAACAGAAGUGGAUUUGCAACUCCAAACCAAAGGUUCCACACCCCUUCAUGAGAUUCCUUGGGAAAAAACACCAAAUGGAAUACAGUUGAAUCUGGCUACAACUCUCCAAACGAACAUUUCCAACUUUUCCCCCUACCCUUAUAACUUGGAAUCAUUGAGAAAUAAAACUGCCCUUGGCACAAAGCCACAUCAGCUAAGGUGAGAUAACCUGAUAAAAAAGAGAAAUCACCACAGCAGCUGGACCAUCUUCAUACCUGCUGCCAUGUGGGCCACUCCGAUCACCAGAGACCCUCAAAUUGCAAACAAGUAAAAUCCAUCAGCUUAAAUACUGCCUGCCCUCAGUGCAUCUGAACGUGCGUCAAGUCUGGCAUCUAGAAAUCUUGACGGGCUACCUUCAGCACUCAAAAACUGGGAUUACAAUCUACUCCAACCAUUAACCUUUUUUAUUUUCUUUUGUUUCCACAGAAAUGUUUCUUAUUAAAUACCCAACUGCUUGUACCAUAUAGGCCUAACUUGGGUAACCCACCUGUAUCACUGCCUCCUGAAAUAAGACACAAAUCUUUAACUGAACUAACCUAUUCUCAGGACGAAGAGACUGGUUCAAUGAGAUAUGGAGCAUCCAUCAACUCAGGACAGGUUUAAACCUACUUAAACCAUAUGGCCUCGAACAAUUUAAAUAGAACUAUCAUUCCAUUUGUAACUAAGUGGAUGGAACUAGAGGGUAUUAUGCUAAGUGAAAUUAGAGAAAGA